rnacentral:lncRNA from 1 species
AUCAAUUUAUCAUUAGUCUAAGCCUUCUCGUCUUACUAUGUUUACUGGAUGGAGGGGAACUGCUCAACUUUUUUUUUUUUGAUUAAGUGAAACCAAUCCGAAUGUCUUCAAUGCUCUCUUAGUUAUAUGUGUCUUAAUAUCUUCUUCUAUUUUGAGCACGUCAUUGUAAUUUGGCUCUCCUGAUAUGGAUGAAAGUUUGAAGAGAGCUGCACAAGAAGGAAAUAUUGUUGAAUUAUAUGCAUCAAUCCAAAGAGAUGGAAAUGGUUUGAGGCACAUCGAUUAGAUUGAGUUCGUUGACACUCCAUUACACAUAGCUGCAGCUCAAGGGUGUAUUGAUUUUGCAAUGGAGAUAAUGAUAUUAAAGCGGUCAUUCGCUAGGAAGCUAAACCAAGAAGGCUUAAGUCCUAUUCACCUUGCAGUGGAAAAGGGGCAUAAAGAACUGGCGCUACAUCUCUUGCAAAACGAUAAAAAUCUUGUUCGUGUCAAAAGGAAGCAGGGUGAGACUCCUUUGCACUAUGCACUAACUAGAGAACAAAAUAUUGAUCUCUUGGCAUGCGACCAAUCAAAUUGCAAGGCUGAUAAGCAUGCGACCAAUCAAAUUGGUUCAACGGCACUGGCUGUUGCAAACGAACCUAAUUACAUAGAGAGCAUCAAUAUUUUGCAUGGUUGGGGAAGUGCAAGAGUUUUAAACUUUCAAUAUAAAAUUCAGAAACAAAUGGUUAAGCAUGUGACAAAGGCAUCAGAAGUAAUUUUUCAAGGUAUGGACAGUAUAUCAAGUGAGGAUAGUAAUUUUAGGAUUGCUUCUAUCAGCUACCUACCAAGCCAGUAUUAGCCCGCCUGGUAGUGUUUGGCAAGGUGAUAGCUCCUCAAAAUCCAAUUCCACUCCGGGAAAAGCGGCCAUGAAUCAAGGUGAUUUUCUUCUUUUCUAUAUUCCAGCCUCUACUGUCUUCAUUGUAGCGUUUUUCCUAACAUUAGGCCUCCUUAAACCUUUUCCUCGUGGUUUCAGGACUGCUCUUCAAGUAUUACUUGCAUUUCUUGCUACAUCCUUCAAUGAAUCAAUACUUAUCAUAGCGCCAAGUUCUGCAGCAACUAUAGUUAUCACUUUGUUUACAGUGUUGGUUUUUAUUUUGAUGAUGGUCAUGUGUAUUGCUUACCAGGUAUCAAAAAUUAGCGUUUUAAUUCUAGGAUGCUGGUUCGUGAUUGGUUAUGGUCCAUUGCAGAUAGGAACCUUUUUAAUUAUAGGGUGCUGGUUAUUCCUCGGUCUAUAUGAUUCAUUCUGGAUAGGAUCCAUUUUAGUUUUAGUAUGCAUUUCAGUAAUAUAUGAGUUUUCUUACAUCUGGAUUGUAGUUGUUAUAGUUCUGUAUCCUUGUUUUUACUUGGUCUAUUUCUAUUCUGGAUGGAAGCAGUACAAUGAGAAUGUUCGUCAACAUACCACCCUUAAAAAUUUCUGGACGCCUAACGUUGAAUGAAACUCUAAAGAUGGCUACCACUGCAUCUAGAUAUUUCCUGUUGCCAGUUCUUGUAUCUUUAUUUGUUGUAUCAUAAUGUACCACCAAUAAAUUCAAUUCCUCCUGUACAAAACCAUCUCCACUUUUCAGCUUAUCUGUAUUGUACUUUAUUUCGCUUAUAAUUUGGGCUGAUAUGUUAUUAAUACUCCUUUCUAUUUAAAUUAAACUUUACAUUUGACUAAUCACAAAUUUUUUUAAAAAAAAAUUAUGAUUUUAGUAUUUAUUGUAAAUUAUUUUAUAUAUAGUAUUAGUAAAGCAUAUUGUUUUUAAUUUCAAAACAGUAAAUAUAUGUUAACCCUCUUGUACUUUUUCUGUGUUCUGGACUAUAUAUAACACAUUAACCCUCUGGACCACUCUUGGUCUAACAGCAUUUCUCCUCUAAGGUGGUUCUAUUGCUUUCCUAUUGGUCCAAAUGGACUACAUCUCUGUCCCUCGUCUUUAUUAUGUUGCUGUUAUUGCCGUUUCCUAGAUUUGUUUAAGGGGAGACUGAGAGCAUAAAUGAAGCAUGCAUUUGCUUCAUAUGCAGAGGCAGAGCUAAAGUGGAAGGAAAUUUACAUUGAAAUAUUCUAUUUUUCGGUUGCUGCACUGUGCUUUACUGUAAUCAUGCUGCAAAAUUGAUUAAAUUCGUAGAUAAAAAGUAUUUAGGAACCCAACACUUUUUAAGUCUAAUGUUCAAUGUAGAUCCAAUCCUCAUUUUGAUAUCACUUUUUAGCAUGGUAUUGUUCCUUAUCAUUUUAUUAAAAGAAAGUUGGUACUGGAUAUUGAUAUUUUGUUAUUUCAAUUUGCAGCUACCAUGCAACAAAAAUUACACACGGGUAAUUGUUUACGUAAUCAAAUUAUUGUCAUGAGCAAAAAACUAUAACAUUGACAAACAGAGUCUUUUUCUUUUGUAAAUUUUGUUUAUCAUGAGACAAUUGAAGUACAAUGGUCACUUAUAAAAAAAAUUGAUUUUUUUUUCCACUUGUUAAAUGGGUUAAUUGGCUAACCUGACCAUUUCAUGAUGUAGAUAGCUAGCAGAUGACAAGUAAUUUUAGGAUCAUAGGAAUAAUAUGAUUUUUUUUUUAAUUUAUUUGGAUGACAAGUAAGUAUAAGUUUGGGAAUUUACUUUUCUUAUAUUUCAAAGAAGUUUAGGGUCGAAUACAUUUUUGUUUAAAUUUACUUUACUUGCACUUUAAAUUUAAGUUAAGUAAGAUUAGGGUAUUAUAAAAAAAAACCCUUAGAUUUAGUUAUUAGGGAAUUAAUAUAUUUUUUUGAAUAAUUGAAUAGCAUUAUAUUUUUUGUUAAAAUUUGAGUGUAAAUUUUUGCGUUUAAAACUUAAUUUGGUUAUCAACCUUAAAGGCUUUGUCGAGUGUUAGUUUUUGUUUUCAUUCUAACUCAUUCUAUCAUUUCAAAAUUUGAAAAUUGAACCAAAAUUAAAGUGGCGUUUCCACAAACAUAACAAAAGCAUUUUUUAAAGUUCACCUAAUUUUAGGGAUUGGUUAUUCAAUUUUGAAAUAUAUUGAAGAUUGAGAGCACUAGUCAUUCAAACUUGUACAACGUGUUUGGUUGAGGGGAAUGGCAUAGUCAUUCACCUAAUAUUCCUAAUACCAGUCAAAUCAAUCAUUUGUUUCGUGAUGGCCAUUCCUUGAGAGGUUGGAAUAGGUAUUGUCAAGGCCCUCUACGAUAAUGUCUAUUCCAAUCCAAUGAGCACAAAAAAAUAAAAUAAAAAAAACCAAUGCAUAGAAUCUUAACUCUUCAAAAGAUAUUAAAAAAACUACAACAAAUAAAAUUUUAAAAUAAAUUAAUUUUUUGAAACGACUUCAAAUAGUAAAGUGAUUUUUGCAUUAUGAAUCCAAUACAUUGCAAUCAUUGAAUCUAAUUCAAUAAUUAAUUAAUGACCUCUUUCCCAACCAUGAUGAGUGAUAAAAAAUUUCAAGAGCCAUCUCUCCCUUUCUUUGACUUCACGCAAUCCUAAAGUGUUGUCGUCACAUUGAUUUUUUACUCUUAUGAGCAGUCCAUAAGUUUUGAAAAUUACAUAGCCACAUGUGCUAUCCCGCCUUGAAUAUACAUUAAAACCAGAUUCAAGUAGAGAGAGAGAGUUGUCAUCAUAGUGGUCCAAACUAUCGAAAAUUUUAUAAUAUAUACUACUGUUUUACCACGAAAACUACUUUAUUCGGCCUUUUCUGUUUUUUAAUCUUUCCCGGUUGACUAAAAAGCACUGAGGUUUUUCCUUGUAAGUUCGUCAAGGUACUCCUGUGCAGUGCACCCUCUCUUUAUACUCAAAGUGUAGGGUAGAUGCAAAUUCUGGAGGGCCUUAACUAAGAAUGAAGGCACGCGCCUUACAGCGCGACUGACAAAAAUCAACCAUUUCCGAGGCCAAUUGUUAUACAAACGGAACCAGUCUCCUCUUUCCUUCUCACUCUUGUUUACUUCAUUCUCUUUCUACUCUAUAUCUGCAAUAAAUCGACUAACCCUUUCAGUUAUUUUCCAAAGAUUAUUAUUCAAUCUUACCGAUGGAUGAAAGGUUGAGGAGUGCAGCUCAAUCAGGAAAUAUAGAUGCCUUGUAUGAUUUAAUCGAAGGUGACGCGGAUGUUUUACGACGCAUCGAUGAGAUGGAGUUCGUUGAUACUCCACUGCACAUAGCUGCAGCUGAAGGGCACACUGAGUUUGCAAUGGGGUUGAUGAACUUAAAGCCAUCAUUCGCUAGGAAGCUCAACCAACGCUGCUUUAGCCCCAUUCACCUAGCCUUGCAAGAGAAACAAGAAAAGAUGGUGGAUGAUCUCCUAUCAAUUGAUAAAGAUCUUGUUCGCGUCAAAGGGAGGGAGGGUUACACUCCUCUUCAUCAUGCAGUCAGCGAAGGAAAUGUUCCGCUUCUGUCUAAAUUUCUGGAGAAUUGCCCCAAUUCUAUCUUUGAUUCGACUAUUCGAAAAGAGACUGCUCUGCAUAUUGCAGCACAAAAUAAUAAUUUAGAAGCUUUCCAAGCCAUACUGUUUUGGAUUCAGAAGACACGCGAAUGCCACAACAUGGAGAAAAGAAGAAUCCUAAACUUACAGGACAAGGAUGGAAACACUGUGCUGCACAUAGCCGCAUCAAAUAACCAAACCCAGGUACCAUUUUUCUCAUCCUAAGAGAAAUGAGAAUUUAUUGGCAUAGUGUUAUAUAUCAUUUGCCAAUUAGUUGUGGAUUUUAUAUACGCAGAUGAUCAAACUGUUAAUAGAAAGCCAGAAGGUUGAUAGCAAUGCGGUUAAUCAGAGUGGUUUUACAGCUUUGCGUGUCUUACAAGAACAAGCUCGAGUUGACAGCGGAGAGAGUGUGAACAUUCUGAAACGGGCUGAAGAUCCAGUCUCUCCACUGUCAGUAUUUACCAAAUCAUCUAUGGAGACGGAUUUGGACCAACUGUCGUAUGAUAUUUCGAAGAUGAAUAUAGAUACAAUCAAUGCGUUGCUAGUCGUAUUUGCUCUGAUUCUAACGAUGACUUACCAAGCUCUUCUCAGCCCGCCGGGUGGUGCUGAAGCUGCGGGGAAGUCAGUCCUCAAGCCUUACAUGUUUAUUUUGUUCUAUACUUCAAAUCUCGCAGCUUUUGCAAUUACGUGGUUUUUAGCAGUGUUCAUCAUCCAGACAGUUGCCAGCAAAAUCGCACGUUUUGUGGCUAUACUAUUCAUUUUGAUCUGGUUUUGCUACAUUGUUGCACAUGUUAUCAUAUCGCCACCGCCAUAUGCCGGUUGGGUUGCUUUUGCUGCUGCUUACAUAAUUGGCAGCUCACUUUUUGUAAUUGGCAUGCGUAUCCGUCGCAAAAGAAAUUAAUUUCUUACUUUAUAAAUAUUGAAUUUAAUACCCUUUUUAUAAUUUAUAUAAAUCAAAUUUUUAUAUUUUUAAAAUUUAUUAAUGUUAGUCCAGUUGCUAAUACUAUUAAAAUUCUUCUACUGAAAUCAUUGACAUGGUAUUGAUUGUUAAAUGAGAAUUGUAAAUAAAUAGCGCUAGAUAUAAGCAAGAAUAAAGAAUCGGAAUCAGGAUGGAAGAAGAAGACCACUUGCAAAUAAAUGAAGAAGACUGAGUUGAGCAGUGCGCACCAUUUUGUGAAGCAAGGAAGAAGGAAAUCUGAAGUGCACCGUUUCGCUUAUGCACUGUCUCUCAACUGCUGUUUUUAGAAUUUCAUCUGUUAUUUUAUUCCUUACAAAUGUUAGUUAGUUGUUAGUUGUUUUAAUUAACUAAGUUUUCCCUCUUCAUCACCAGAUUAACUAAGUUUUCCCUAUCGUUUUAAUUCUCAUGGAUUCAAUUCCAACAUUGGAUAAAGUCUGUAGCUUGGUAUUCAGAGAAGAGACAUAUAGGAAUCUUAUAUUUUAGUCACUUGGAUAAAGUCUGUAGUUUGGUACUUGGAUUUUUUUAAUGAAAGGUCAAUUAUUCCCCCUUUUAACAAUUUUGUUCAAAGACAAUACAACACUUCAAUCAAAUGCUUAACGGCAAAGAAUUUGACCUAACUGAUUUUUAUGCAAGAAUUGCCAUAAUUCAUCACUUGUCCUGCAUUGAUACUCCAAAACAAAAUGGAGUUAUAGAAAGGAAGCACCAGCACAUCCUAGUAGUGGCAAGGUUCCUUAUGCAUCAGCCAAAGCUCCCAAUUCACUUUUGGGGAGACACAAUGCUUAUUAACAUUCAUAUCAUUAAUAGAAUACCAACCAAGGUCCUUAAAAACAAGUCACCAUAUCAACUACUGCACAGCAAGCCACUAGCCUAUGACUACUUUAGAGUUUUUGGAUGUUUGUGCUUUGUUCCACACUAGCACAUAACAGAAAAAAUUUUGAGAGUAGAGCCAAUAAAUGUGUUUUUAUAGGAUAUUCGAACUAUGUAAAAGGGUAUAAAGUCUAUGAUAUGGAUGCACAUAAAGUCAUAACACCAAGGAAUGUUGUUUUCCAUAAGAAUGUAUUCCCUUUCAACCUUUCACAGCAUGAUUCACGAUAUUCUGCUUUUUAUCAAACACAUGGUAUGCAUUCUACGUCCGUGAAUGAUUUUGACUUUGACCUAACAAGUUCUCCUUUACAUGAGCACAUAUCAACUGAAUUACAUGUAAAUGACCCUUCAUCCAGUGCAGAACAUGCUACCACAUUAGAAAAUGAUAGCCAUUCAUAUAUUCCAUCACCUAUACAUAGUAUGCACAUUGAUGAACCUAAAACAGAAAAUGAUGUUGACCUUGUUGACCCAAUCCAACCACUUAGGAGAAGCUCUAGACAUGGACAAACACCUAAAUACCUGGUAAGUACUACACUGAACUACCACCUCAUAAAAAUUCAACCACACCAUACCUAUAACCAAUUACCUAUCAUGUCAAAACCUGUCACCAACACAUAGAGCCUUCACUAUGCCCAUGUCAUAUAUCCAUGAACCAAGUUCUUACCAAGAAGUUGCGAGCCAUUCACAUUGGAGAGAUGCUAUGGAAGUUUAGCUGAGGGCUUUGGAGGAUAAUCAAAUGUGGAGUAUAGUACCAUUGCCUUAAGACUCCCAUACAAUUGGAUAUAAAUGGGUAUACAAAGUCAGGUUGAGAGCCAAUGGAGAUAUAGAGAGAUACAAAGCUUGUCUAGUAGCUAAGGGAUACAACCAAGUUGAAGGUUUUAACUAUCAAGAAACCUUCAGUCCUGUGGCAAAACAAACCACAAUCAGAGUAUUCCUUGCCUUAGCAGCAGCAAACAAAUGGACAUUAUCUCAACUUGACAUAAACAAUGCAUUCUUGAAUGGAGACUUGGAGGAGGAGUGUAUAUGGAACUCCCACAAGGAUGAUGUUGGAUCAAAAUUAGUUUACAAGCUGCACAAGUCCUUUUAUGGACUUAAACAAGCAUCCGAGCAGUGGAAUGCCAAGCUUACAGCAUCCAUUUGAAAGUAUAGUUCAAGCAAUCAAUUUCAGAUUAUUCCUUAUUCAUUAUGAAGAAAGAAAAUGGAGAUUUUAGUGCUCUAUUGGUCUAUGUAGAUGACAUUAGAGUGGGAAGCACAUCAAGCAAAGCAUAAAAUAAUGUAAAGGAAUAUCUAAAAUCACAGUUUAUGUUAAAAGACCUAGGUUCAUCAAUCAACACUAGGUAUAUCCAUAUGUCAGAGGAAAUAUACCUUGGAUUUGUUAGAAAGUCAAGGCUUACUUGGAUUCAAACCUACAUCAACACCAAUAGACUACAACCAUAAACUGAGCAGGGCUGCAAAGGAAGAAAAAUUAAAUGAUCAAACCAGUUAUAGACAAUUGAUAGGAAAGCUUUUAUACCUAACAUUCACAAGGCCAGACAUCACAUAUGCAGUCCAAGUUCUUUCUCAGUUCAUGGAGAAACCAAAAAAGAAACACCUCACAGCAGCUCAUAGAGUGCUAAGAUAUUUAAAAAAAGCUUCAGGGCAAGGGAUUUUGAUGAAGUCAGAUUCCAAGUUAAAGAUCUUUACCUAUUCAGAUAGUGACUGGGUAGGUUGUCUAGAGAUUCAAAGAUCCAUAAGAAGGUAUUGCAUAUUUGUUGGGGAGUCAUUGGUAAGCUAGAAAUCAAAGAAGUAACAAGUAUGAGCCGGAAGAUCAACACAAGAAGAGUAUAGGUCCAUGGCUACCACAUGUUGUGAAGUCAUUUGGAUGAAAUCCUUGCUAACUGAUCUUGGAGUCAUGUCAUGAUGAAACAAUAAAUCUUUAUUGUGACAAUUAGUCAAAACUACUGAUGAAGCACAUAGAAAUGGAUUGCCACUUCAUAAGGGAGAAAGUCCUAACUGGAAUCACCAGACUAGUAUACGCACCAACUGAGCUGCAGGUUGCUGAUUUAUUCACUAAGGCACUGUAGCCAAGGCAAUUUUGCAACUUGAUGAACAAGAUGAACGUUCUCAAUGAUCACGCUUCCUCUUGAGGAAGAGUGUUAAAUGGGAACUGUAAAUAAAAAAUGCUGGAAAUAAGCAAGAAUAAAGAAUAAGAAGUAGGAUGGAAGAUGAAGACCACCUGCGAAUAAGUGAAGAAGACUGAACAGAGCAGUGUUUUGUGAAGCCAGAAAGAAGGAAAUGUGAAGUGCACCGUUUCACUUAUGCCCUAACUCUCAACGUUGCUGUUUCUAAAAAACCUAAGAUACCUGCCAAACACACUCUAAAUCCUAAGUUUAUUUUAUAAUAAACAACAUGAACGCUUAGUUAUUGCAAUGGUUUUUGUUUCUUUUGGCCAAGCUUAGGUAUUGCAAUUAAAAUAAAAGAGUAUGAGCACUUGUAGUUAAUAUAAGCACAUGAGAGGGCUUUAAUACGUGAGCAAUGUAAGAACAAAUAUUUUGCUUUAAAAGAAAAAAGUUCAGUAGCAACGAUAGGUAGAGUACAUGUAUUUCUUCUAUUACUGUGCUUUUAGUCUUCUGGUAGUUGCUGUGCUAAUUAUAAUAGCCACUCUCCAAGCUUCAUUUAGUCCACCUGGAGGUGUUUUGGCAGGGAGAUAACAGUAGUUCAUCUACCUCAGAGGCUGUUAGCUCCAAUACCCCCAAAAUUAUUAACGCCACUAGAGAAGGAAGUUCAAUUUCACAAGCAUUACCCUGUCAAGGGACAACAGUAAUGGGAACUCUUCUAUAAUUAUUUUGGGAUGAAAGACUAGGGCAAUUUCAAUCCGACUUUCAAGAUAACUUCUCAUCGGGGAUUUAUAUCAUUUUAUAAUUAUUUUCAUCUCAAUUUUACAAUUAUUAAAUUUUAAUUAUUUUUAAAACAUGUACAUUUAUUAAUCACAAAAUACUUAAUCGACUGUACUAGAUUUAUAUAUAUAUAUAUAUAUAUAUAUAUACAUGGAAAGAUAAGUAUGAAAAAACAACUUUUUUAUUUAAAAUUCAAAAUAUCCUACAAUAAUUGUGCUUCUAAUAUAAUAUGAUUUAAAUUGGUAAUGUCAAUCUAGUUAAAUGAAUUAAAAUGCAAAAGUUAAAGUAAAUUGGAAGGAACAAAGGCCGAUUGUGUAAGAUUCCUUUGCCCUAGCUUUAGAAGUUCUCCAAUAAAGAAUGUAAAAGAGAUGUUAUACAUGCUCUGCUUUUCUUAAUCUGCACGCCUAGCAUCUUUGCCAUUGAACUAUGGCCUAUGGCUGAUACUAUUAUUUAAAAUAAAAAAUAAAGUUUUGUUACAAAUCCUUAGAGUACUUUUUAAAGUUAAUUAAUAUUUUUAUUUAUAGUAAUACUUUUGUUAUAAAUUCUAAUGUAUUAGACAAAUAUAUUACUUAAUAUUAUAACUUUAAAAAGUUUUUUUAAAGUACUAACUUUCUAAAUCCGAUAAAUAAUAAUAUAAAAUUUACAAUUAAUGGCAAAAGCUGCAUUAAAAUAUUUUGUGAUCAGCAUUCUUCCACAUAAUCUUUUUAUUUGUAAUAUAUAUAUAUAUAUAUAUAUAUAUAUAUAUAUUUGUGUAUAUAAUAUAUAUUUCUUUUUGGAACACAUGACAUGCUUAAUACCAUCUUGGUUUAAAAGUACAAUAAUGUAAGGGGCAAUGAAAAUUGUUUAGGAGAUUGCACAUCAGCCAAAAGCAAAAUUCAAAGCCAACCAAUACUCAAAAUUUUAUGCUUGUUGUCGAUCUUUAUGGAGGCUAAAAGACCCUGACAGAGAAUUUGAGAAUAUCUUAGCUUCCAAGAUUGUUGCCAAAAAAAGUGAAGCAGACGAACACCCUUUAGUAGUUUAUUUGUCAAUGCAUGGAUAACGCUGUUGCAGCAGAUUUUUACAGGCUUCAUGGCUAGGGUAUUGAGGGAAGCUGCUCGAGCAGGAAACAUCGACGCCCUAUACGAGCAAUUUCAAGAAGAUCCACACCUUUUGGAGACCAUCGAUGCGGUUCCUUUCAUUGAUACUCCUCUGCACGAAGCUGCAGCUGCAGGGCAAGUUGAUUUUGCAGUGGAGAUGAUGAACUUGAAGCCAUCGUUUGCCUCAAAGAUUAAUCCAGAUGGUUUUACCCCAUUGCACCUUGCUUUGCAAAAACACCAAACUCAGUUACUAUAUGAGCUACUGAAAAUCAACAAAGACCUGGUUCGAGUCAAGGGGAAAAAAGGUGUGACCCUUCUGCAUUACGCAGCUGAACUAGGAGACAUUGAUCUUUUGGCUAAGUUUCUUGUAGCUUGCCCUCAAUGCAUCAAAGAUGUGACUGUUGGCGGUAAAACUGCUCUGCAUAUUGCGGCAGAAAACAACCAUGUUGAAGCGCUUGAAGUCCUGGCACGUUGGCUACGACGGACUCACAACAAAGAUGGUGGAUUCUGGGAAAUUGAAGUCAUGAACUGGAAAGACAAGGAUGGCAACACAGUAUUGCACGUAGCUGCAGCCAACAGCCAAAAUCAAGCAGAGGCACGAUCUAAUAAUCCUCUCUCAUUAACUAUACUAAAUAAGUCUAAAUUUUUUUUCCUUAUGUUAACUUAAUUUGUCAAUAAACAGACAUUUGUUUUUUCUUUUUUCUUAUAUGAAUCUAUGGAGCAGAUGAUAAGACUCUUGUUGGAAUGUGGAAUUCGAAGGAACAUAAUCAAUUUGAAUGGUUUGACGGCUCUGGAUGUUUUACAAUGCCAAGGGCAAGUCGACAACAGGAAGGCUGUGGACAUUCUAAGACAGGCAGGAGGUUUAAAUGCUUCCUCAAUUCCAGAAUCCACACCCUUGGCUGAGCUCUUUAGUUCAAAGGUUGAAUUUUCUGAGAGAUUAAUGAUAAUUGUAACUCGGGCCAGACUCAAUAUACCAAGUGACACACGCAAUGCGUUCCUGGUACUAGCCGGGUUAGUAAUAACAGCAACCUACCAAGCCAUUUUCAACCCGCCCGGCGGUGUUCGACAAGCUGAAGCAGGUCCCACUCAGGUUCCGAGCGGAGCAGGUAGAUCAGUUAUGGAUACAAAUAGUUUUCUUUGGUUUUAUGUUCCAAACACUGCAGCAUUUCUCACCACACUUUUCCUUACGGUUCUGUUUCUGAUAAUUGGUCCUAAUGGUGAAUUGGUUCUCUUACCGCUGCUGCCAUUGGUCAUUUGCUAUGUCAUGUCGACGCUGGUCAUAACCCCAACUGCAACGUUUACUUAUUACAUUUGGCUUACUUUGGUGAUUGCUGUUGCGUCUGGGUGUUGGUUAUUUGGGGCUCAUCUAUAUUGGCUUCUGAAAAUAUGGAAGGUUAACAAGAGUUCGGGAGAACUCACCCUCUCAGUGUUAUCUUAAGAGGGGUGGAAACAUACACGUCCUCUAGCUUUGGCCUUUGCAUAGAUAGAUGUUCUCAGCAUAGAAUGUUGAGAUGAAUUUAAAAAUGUUGAUUGAAUUUAUUGCGAUUUUUCUAGAGAAAUGUUCAUUUUCAUAUCCCCUGGCGCCAUCCAUGGCAUCCUUUUGCUAAUUAUUUCCAUUAUCAUCAUAAUGUAAAAUCGUUUACCCUUCAAAUGCUUGUUUGCAAUUUUGGGUUUGCAUCUUGCUUAGGCUUGGACUAAAGGCUGGCCCAAGCUUUUCUUUUCUAUUUUUUUUCGCUAAAUAGUCCCAUCUAAUCUAACUCAUAAAGCUCAUAAGAUUUUUCAAAAACUUAUGUGUACUGUAAGGUACUAUAUAACGUUUAUAUUUAUAAGUGAUAGAUUUUUAUAUAACUUUUUUUAUAAUUAAAUAUUUUAAUAUUAUAAAAAAACUCAUUAACAACCCACUAAGCAUGCUCAAAUGCAUAAAGACAAGCACGUAUAUAACAAAAAUAUCCAAUUCUCUAUAUUGUCCUUUGUAUCAAUUGGAGAUAGGAGACGCUGGGAGGGAAUUAAGAAUCUUAAUCCGCAUCAGUUGAGUUUUGUCCAGGGCACUCAAUGGGACUUUUGAAUAUCAUAUGGUCGCAAGUGCUAUCCAGCCUUCAAUAUAUAUUUUAAAAACCAGGAUAAAGUAAUGAGAGAGAGUUGUCAUCUUAGUGCUCCUAAUUAUUGAAAAUUUUAUAACAUAUACUACUUUUUUUUCCAAGAGAACUCCUUUAUUCUACCUUUUCUGUUUUUUAAUCUUUCCCGGUUGACUAAACGCCACCCACGUUUUUCCUUGUAAGUUCGUCAAGGUACCGCUAUGCAUCCUCUCUUUACUCUUUCAAUUGCUGUUUCAACUACACUCUAAUUAGCCAAAGCCCUCACUACCUAUCAAUUUAUCGUUGUUCUAAGCCUUCUCACCUCACUGUGAUUACCGGAUGGAUGGGAGCUGCUCAACUCUUUAUUUUUAAGUGAAUUUCCUCCAUGCUUUCUUAAUUACACUUUUCUGUUUUCGGCCUGUCAUUGUAAUUUCGCUAAUCUUGUUAUGGAAGAAAGUUUGAGGAGGGCUGCUCAAGAAGGAAACAUCGUUGAAUUAUAUGCAUCAAUCCAAAGAGAUGGA